GCCCGGGUGGCGAAACUGGUAGACGCAAGGGACUUAAAAUCCCUCACUCCUUGCGGGUAUGCGGGUUCGAGCCCCGCCCUGGGCA
rnacentral:tRNA from 1 species